rnacentral:lncRNA from 1 species
UUUAAUUGAAUGCAGGAUGACGAUUGCGUGUACACGGCGUACGUUAGAACCGGAUCGGUGCUUAAGGGCGGAACCGACUCCAAGAUCGGGAUCAAGUUGUACGACAAGUACGGCUACUACAUCUACAUUAAAAACCUCGAAGCGUGGGGCGGUUUGAUGGGAAAGGGUUACAACUACUUCGAGCGCGGCAACCUCGACAUCUUCAGCGGAAAGGCACCUUGUCUUGACGGACCCGUUUGUGCCGUCAACGUUACUUCUGACGGAUCCGGUUCGCACCACGGCUGGUACCUUAACUACGUCGAAGUCACCUCCACUGGGCCCCACAUACCCUGUUCUCAGGAACAGUUCGAUGUGGAAGAGUGGCUCGCUCUCGACACCUCCCCCUACCAGCUUUGGCAAGUCAGGAACCACUGCCGCUAUAGCUUGGAACAGGCCCGGCCAGCUUCGGAGCGCGCUCGAUCCGAAUCCGGAUCCGGAUCUGGACCCAGAUCUGCAAUCUAGAAUGCACGUCUAUGAGGAAGGUUUAUGGCAACGGUCGCGAAAAAAAUAAGUAUCGCCUUAGUACUUGAAUUGGAAAAGCGGGUUUGAGGGUUCAAAACCCGUUCUUUUCUUUGUGGUUUUCAAUAAUAAUGGAAACUAUCUGUAUCAAUCGCUAUGGUAUUGUAGUCUCUUGUGUAUUGAAAGGUUUGAAUUCGCUUUUCAAAAUAUUAAAAGACGAUCUUAUUACAGGCUU